CUGGUUGGCAUCCCAGGUGUGUCACGGGACCGCCCUCGUGUGUGGGACCCCGUGCUGGUUUUCUUGGUGGCCCGGCUGUG
rnacentral:pre_miRNA from 1 species